rnacentral:ncRNA from 1 species
UUAGCUUUAUUUAAUUAAAAAGUGAUAGCGUACCUUUUGCAUAAUGGGUCAGUAAGUUAAUAUUAGAUGCGAGCAUUCGUGCCCAGAUAAACCAAUUAUGAAUUAAUGAUUUAGUAUCUAAAAUUAGACCCGAAGCCUAGUGAUCUUACCACAGUCAGGAUCACAAAAGUCUGAACGGGUUGUCGUUGCAAAGACAUCCGAUGAACUAUGGUAAGUAAGUGAAAGACAACACUGACUAGGAAAUAGCUGGUUUUCUGCGAAACCUAUAAAAGUAGGUAAUUUAAGUAACAUCAUAGCAGGUACAGAACUGUGUUCUCAGGCAACUUAGAAAUAUUUUGCAUAUAUCGGGCAAUCGUGAAGAUUUUAUCGGUGAGUAAUCGCACUCGGAAUGGUUAUGAUGAAUAUUAAAUAAUCGGACAUAGUACGCUAAGGUUGUAUUGUCUAAAGGGAAACAGCCCAGAACAAGAGUUUAAGGUUCCAAAUUUAUUGUUAAGUGAAAUUAAGGAUGUUUCUGUAAAAAACGGCCAGGAAUUAGGCUUAGAAGCGGCCAUUUUUUUGAAGAUCUCGUAAAAGAGCACUGGUUUAGUAUAUUUUAUACGUGAAUAGUAGCACCGAAGAUUUAACGGAUCUAAACAAUAUACCGACACCUUGUCCAUAAAAAGGAUGAGCUUGUAGACAGCUCGUAUUUUUAUGGGGUAGCAGAACGUUGGGUAAAUAACACGGUUUAUUGUUUUUAACAAUAAAUAUAAGAUAACCCAAGUGAUAAUGCUGACAUGAGUAACGAAAAAGGGGUUAUACCCUCGCCUAAAGCUUAUGGUAUUUUAAAAUAAGUAACGGCCUCUAAGUUUACCAACCUAAAGGAUUAAACGAUGAGAAAAUCUUUUAGUUACUUAGUAACAACCUUCCUUCUUAUGUAACCAAGUCACCUUGCGAGGGGUUUGCUUGGAAAUAUUAUUGUCCAAGUACCGGCGGAAGGCGGGCAUAAGAAAAGUUGAGGGAGGUUCUGGAAAAACAGUGACAAACCUGCUUCCGGUAGUACGGAAGAAAGGGGGGAAAACAAAACCGUAACCUAAAUACCACCUCAGGUAAGCUAGUAGAGAAUACGAAGGCGUUUUGAGUGAACAAUCAUUAAGGAACUCGGCAAACUAACUACCGUAACUUCGGAAUAAGGAGUGCCAUUCCUCUUCAUUAAUAUGAGGUAAAGAAUAGGAAGCAUGGAAUAGUGUUGUACGACUGUUUAAUUAAAACAAAGCACUUCGCAAUAAG